UACGGAGGGUGCAAGCGUUAUCCGGAUUCACUGGGUUUAAAGGGUGCGUAGGCGGGCAGGUAAGUCAGUGGUGAAAUCUCCGGGCUUAACUCGGAAAUUGCCAUUGAUACUGAUGAUCUUGAGUACAUUUGAGGUGGGCGGAAUGUGUCAUGUAGCGGUGAAAUGCUUAGAGAUGACACAGAACACCGAUUGCGAAGGCAGCUCACUAAACUGUAACUGACGCUGAGGCACGAAAGCGUGGGGAGCAAACAGG
rnacentral:rRNA from 1 species